rnacentral:lncRNA from 1 species
GAGGAUAAUCCUGUAGAAGAUUCACAGGUAAUUGUAGAAGAAGUAAGCAUUUUUCCUGUGGAAGAACAGCAGGAAGUACCACCAGGCUAUUUGAUGGAGAAUAUGGAAUCAGAAUUGCCUUGGGAUGAAAGUUGAAUAGUGUAUAAAUUGUGACAUUACUCCUCUUCCUCUCCAUUCCCCAUCUCUCCUGAGAGCAUCUUUAGUGCUUUGUGACAGUCCAGGCUGCCCAGUGCUUGUCAGUGUCCCAGGGUGUUUCCUUUUAGUUCACUGCAUUACAUACUUUUCCCUGUUUUUUCCUACUUUCCUCUACCUGAGCCCUCUUGUCACCAGUUAAUAU